GAUAAACACUUGAUGAAUAGUUGGCUCUCUACUGAUUCAGUUUUUCAUGUAGAAGACAGUCUGGGUGUGGUGCAGUCAUGGUAAGGAGUCUGAAGAAUGGAACUUGCAUAGUGGGACAAAAAUGCCACAUGACUUACAAUGAAGGAAUGAAUUAGGAAAGGUGUGCACGAUUGAGAGUUCCUGCAAUAAAUAAACAAGUGAAAGACCAUG